rnacentral:misc_RNA from 1 species
GGACUACUGGGGUUUCUAAUCCCUUUUGCUCCCCACGCUUUCGAGCCUGAGCGUCAGAUCUUGUCCAGUAAGCUGCCUUCGCCGUUGGUGUUCCUCUUGAUAUCUACGCAUUUCACUGCUCCACCAAGAAUUCCGCUUACCCCUCCAAGUCUCUAGACUCGUAGUUUCGAACGCAGCACCGGGGUUAAGCCCCGGUAUUUCACGUCCGACACACGAGUCCGCCUGCGCUCCCUUUACGCCCAGUGAAUCCGAGUAACGCUUGCAGUCUCUGUAUUACCGCGGCGGCUGGCAC